AGUGAACGCUGGCGGUAGGCCUAACACAUGCAAGUCGAACGGCAGCACAGUAAGAGCUUGCUCUUACGGGUGGCGAGUGGCGGACGGGUGAGGAAUACAUCGGAAUCUACUUUUUCGUGGGGGAUAACGUAGGGAAACUUACGCUAAUACCUCAUACGACCUACGGGUGAAAGCAGGGGAUCUUCGUACCUUGCGCGAUUGAAUGAGCCGAUGUCGGAUUAGCUAGUUGGCGGGGUAAAGGCCCACCAAGGCGACGAUCCGUAGCUGGUCUGAGAGGAUGAUCAGCCACACUGGAACUGAGACACGGUCCAGACCCCUACGGGAGGCAGCAGUGGGGAAUAUUGGACAAUGGGCGCAAGCCUGAUCCAGCCAUACCGCGUGGGUGAAGAAGGCCUUCGGGUUGUAAAGCCCUUUUGUUGGGAAAGAAAAGCAGCAGGUUAAUACCCCGCUGUUCUGACGGUACCCAAAGAAUAAGCACCGGCUAACUUCGUG
rnacentral:rRNA from 1 species